CUUUUUUUAAGUUUCACUUUACAAAAGGGAACUCCCACACUUCUUCAUUCAAGAGUAAUCUGUUCGGGUUUUUCCAGGAUCAUUACCAACCAUCCCCUGACAAGUAAACGCUCCUUCAAAUCUGAAGACAGCAAAGCUACCAGGAUGUCCUGCCUUUGGAUGAGUCUGAGUCUGCUCUUUGUCCUACAGCACAGCGUAGGAUGUUCAUAUGACGUUGUAAAACUGCUGUGCCCUCAAACAGUGGAAGUCAGACCUGGAGACUCUGCAAAAAUAAACUGCAGCAUACACACCAAUGACUCUAGAUGUGAAGGCACUACAUUUACCUGGAAUGUCUCAGAUCAAAGUGGUUCAAACCAAGUCAACCUUUGUGAAAAUGACAACAAUUACAUAUGCAAAGGGGAUAACUGGACACAUGUGUCAACGACCAUCCAAAAAGUCAUGACAGACAAAAAUAUCACAGUAGAGAUUGUUUUAAACUGUGGCAUGGAUACUGCUGAAAUCCAAGUAAAGAUUCAACCGUCUUCUGAGAGAAUAGAGAGCCCAUCUGACGACACGGGGAGUUGGACCAUUGUGAUAGCCAUCAUGAUUUCUGUUUUCAGUGUCAUCAUUAUUGUAGGAAUUUCAUUUUUCCUGUAUCGAACCAAAAAGUUCUCAAAAACUGCCUCACACCAAGCAGUAAACCAAGAAGAAAACUCAUCAUCAAGUGAGGUUUGAACAGAUGGCACCUGGACUUCUUCAGCUGUAAAUAACUGCUGGGAGUUUCAGGUUUUGAAGCACAGAGGACAUUUGCUUUCCACUGUUCAAGGUCACAUGUGAACCACUGACCCACCUGAUCGCUUCACUGUGACCUGUGAGGACUUUACCUGCCUGACCGACAUCUUGGUCCAUAGUGCACUUGGUUGUGAAAGUGCCUGUUAAGGAAAGUCAGACUUUUGGUAUUUAAAACAUGGGUUCACUUUCACAUUGUGUGUAGUGGCUGGUUUAUCUUCAGAGCUCUGAAGGCUACACUUUACUGAUCUUUGUCUUAGUUUCUCUCGGUUUCAGAGCCUCCAUGUGAGACGCUACGGUUGUGUGCUUAUGUAAAGAUAAAGUGAGCUGGGCCUAUUUUUCUUUCUAGCUAAAUUGGUAAGCACAUACUGCUGUGGCCGGUUAUAAAUCAGUCCUGUGCAGAACUUUUCUUCCAAUCAUCUUCAUACGGAGACGUACGUAUAGCAGGGAGGGAAUGGGGUGUUAAGAGGUCAGUUGGCUUGUGUUACAAUCAAAAUAUAUAUUUCUUUUUUUCACUUUUAUACUUUAAUAAUUAUUAGAUUUUUUUGUAUAUAUAUUAUAAUUUGGAUGAUGUAGCUUCACUGUACUCAUAUGUUUUCUAAAUAUAAGAUGCUGGACCAUCAACCAUUUAUUUUAUGAUGUUUUGCAGCUAUUUUAUACAGAAGCCUAGAGGGAACAAUCCCUAAAUUAUUUAUUCUAAUGUUAUCUCAAGGUCACAAAUGAAUUUAUGUUAUCUCUGAAAUCUGUCUUUGUGUGUUCUCUACAUGAGAGUGAUCAAGUCGAGCUUGAUAAUGAGCCGUUCAUGUAUCAGCAAAUAAUUGUUCUUGUUUAUCUGGGAAGAAUCUACAGCAGCAUGCUGAGACGUGCAUGUUUUUAUUCUCCAUUUAUAGUUUUACUGAACUCUAACAACUUGUUUUAUUGGACAUUUUAAAGUGAUUAACUCAGAAAACAUCAAGGUUAGAGAUCUUUUGAAGCUCUCAGCUUCUAUUUUUUUUUUUUUUGGUUUAAAAUUAUUUAAGUAAACUGCAUAUAAUCGUUGUCUUUAUCAGUUAUUUUAAACUAAAGUGAAUCAAAUAAAUGAAUUAAUUAAAUCAAUAUCUGAUUUUUAAAAUAAUUUAAAUGUUUUAGUAUAAAUGAAAUAGUACAAAACUGAGCUUCUCAAAAAAUGACUUACCCAGAUUAUUAUUUUAAUCUGUUUUAUUAUAAAUGUUUUAUUGUUGUCUUCAGUUUCUAAUGAUGGUUAAGCACUUUGGUCACUUUGGUUGCUUUUUAAAUGCGCUGUACAAGUAAAUUUGAUUUGAUUGAUAAAGUCUAAUUUUAUCUUCUUUUUUGUGAAAAGUGUAUGUUAAUGUUGCCGAAUUCCAAAUAAAGUUGUUUUUAUUCACAUGUGUCUCUACUUGCUGUUCUGACCACCAAUGGAGACUUUUCCAAUUAUCUUCAAUGUAAAAAUUGUUUAAUCAAGUUAAAACUGUAUUUAAAUAAAGGUGGAAGUACCAGAAGUCAUAGCAAACAUGAAUGAAUGAGCUGUUGCAAAGAGAUGUGAAUUAAGCAAUGAA